UACGGAGGAUCCAAGCGUUAUCCGGAAUCAUUGGGUUUAAGGGUCGUAGGCGGGUUGUAAGUCAGUGGUGAAAGUCUGCAGCUCAACUGUAGAACUGCCAUUGAUACUGCAUACCUUGAGUAAUUAUGAAGUGGUUAGAAUAUGUAGUGUAGCGGUGAAAUGCAUAGAUAUUACAUAGAAUACCGAUUGCGAAGGCAGAUCACUAAUAAUUUACUGACGCUGAUGGACGAAAGCGUAGGUAGCGAACAGGAUUAGAUACCCCCGUAGU
rnacentral:rRNA from 1 species